CACAUGCAAGUCGAGCGAUGAAGCACCUUCGGGUGUGAUUAGCGGCGAACGGGUGAGGAACACGUGAGAAAUCUGCCUUCAACACUGGGAUAACUCCGGGAAACCGGGGCUAAUACCGGAUAUGAAAUCUGCGGGCAUCCGCGGAUUUGGAAAGUUUUUCGGUUGAAGAUGAUCUCGCGGNCUAUCAGCUUGUUGGUGAGGUAAUGGCUCACCAAGGCGACGACGGGUAGCCGGCCUGAGAGGGCGACCGGCCACACUGGGACUGAGACACGGCCCAGACUCAUACGGGAGGCAGCAGUGGGGAAUAUUGGGCAAUGGAGGAAACUCUGACCCAGCGACGCCGCGUGCGGGAUGAAGGCCUUCGGGUUGUAAACCGCUUUCAGCAGGGAAGAAGCGAAAGUGACGGUACCUGCAGAAGAAGCACCGGCUAACUAUGUGCCAGCAGCCGCGGUAAUACAUAGGGUGCAAGCGUUGUCCGGAAUUAUUGGGCGUAAAGAGCUCGUAGGUGGUUCGUCACGUCGGAUGUGAAACUCUGGGGCUUAACCCCAGACCUGCAUUCGAUACGGGCGAGCUUGAGUAUGGUAGGGGAGUCUGGAAUUCCUGGUGUAGCGGUGGAAUGCGCAGAUAUCAGGAGGAACACCAA
rnacentral:rRNA from 1 species